AUGGAAGAUGUGCCAGUUGAAGCUGUACCAGAGAAGCCCACUGAGGUUCCUACAACAGAUCAUUUGGAAAGUGAACCUGUAAGAGAAUUGGUAUCCGUUUCUCCAGUUGUAGAAGAGCCACCUGUUGCCACAGUGGUAGAAGAGGCUCCAGUAGUAGAGCCAUUUGAUUCACCAGUAUCCACAGAAGAAGCAUCUGAUGUCCUGGUGAUAGAACAGGAAAUAUUGGUUGUCCCAGUGACAGAAGAGACACCAGUUUCCUCUGUAACAGAAGAGGGAGCAGUUUCCUUGGUUACCGAAGAAGCUCCUGUUGCUGUGGCUGAAGAUGCACCUGUUGUAGCAACCGAAGAACUUGAGGAAACACCUGCAACCAAAGUAACAGAAGAGGUUAUUCCAGUGGUUGAGGAAGGUGUGGAAGUGAAGGCAGCAGAGGCUAUUGUUACAGAGGCUUCGGUAAGUAUAGUCGAUGAAGAAGCAGCAAGUCCAUUUGUGGAAGUUACAGAAAGUGUUGUUGAACCAGAUGUUGCAAGCACAGUGGUAGCUGAGAAAGUUGCUCUAGCUGAAACAUCAAGUGAGCCUGAUUCUUUGGAAGAGCCCAAACGAGACUACAUAGUGGUUAUCUUGGAGGGAGCUCCCAAAACAGAAAAGAAGCCCAUGGUGCUCGGUGUGUCCCCCAUGAUUGGCAAGAUCAUCUCAGCCCCUGAUGAUGGUGAAGAGCCAUCGGGACAGGUAACAGGGCAAGCGCCGUAUGCUUAACGUGCAGAUGCAUUAGCGCCAACUAAAAAAGUUGGGAGCAGUCAGACGUUCUGGGAUAGUAAACUGGUUCCCUGAUAAAGAAUUAGUGAUGUGCCUCGCCCUUUUCUUACUUACCUGACCCCCUGGAUUUCAGUAAUCCUUACACUGGGCCCAGAAGGCUGUUUCCUUCCGACUCUUUCCACUUACAUGCUGUCCACUGGAGAGUGGUUACUUCAUGUGAACUUUCACUUCACUUUGAUGUGAGACAUACAAGUUUGUGACCUAUCUUUAUACCCUUUUUAAAUGGAACUCCAUUCUUUUUGAGUCAACUGCACAUUGGAGCCUAUACUAUAGUGAACCCUACCUCAAACAUCACAUUUUUAGGACAUGUCUUGGAAACGCCAUGUCAAUAGUUACAAUACCAGCAGGGCUAAACAUUUGCCACAAACACUGUCAUAUCUGCAUGCUGACCACCAAUUUUUUGGUUAGACUUCAGGUUCUCCUCUAUCUUCAAUAUAUGCUAUUUUUCAUUUGCAUUAUUUAUGAAUUAACACCAUUUUUAUAUUUGUACCUCUCUACCUCAGCUUGAAAAGACAGUGUUCUCCUUUAACCAGUAACCAGUAUUAUAGUAACCAACUAACAUUACCAAUGUGACAUGAAUAGGUCAAAAAAACAACUGACAAACAGAUAACCUGUAUCAAUAUUAUCAAUACAACAAUAAGCCAUGUUACAAGUCACAUUCCAGUAUUAAUUUUAAAGGCUGACAUUACAAUAUUAUCCAAAAGGUAAACCCCACUGCUGCAUCCUUUGCCUUUGUUUUCUUGUUCUCUCUUAGUUUGUCACCAUCACCAAACCUAUUAUGAAAAUGUUACACUUACUUUGAUACUAGUUUUGAUGCUCAUUUGAUUUGAGAUUUUGGAAUGGUAGACAGAUAUACUAUAUCGAGCCAGAAGGAAAAUUAAUGUCAGAUUAAAAAAAAAAACAUACCUAACAAUUUUGUUUCUUAUCUCCUUCAUGUUUCAAAAGGGACCUUAUAAGUGUUAUAGGUAAGAUACAACUUUAUAAUGUGAAUGUGAGGGAAUAAUGUGAAGUAUGGUUUAGUAUAAAGGGUGUGUUCAUGGGUUCUUUUUGAUUUUGUUUUCAGGGUUAGGAAUUUAAUACACAUGCAUGUGCUCUUUUGAAGUUUCACCUUUCACCGUAGGCCCUAACUAGCGUUUUAUUUUAUUUUUUUAACUAUGAAUGUAUGUAAAAGAAAAAUAAAGAGUUGAAAAACAUUUCUGUGUGAUCAGGGGCAGAUUUAGUGAAUUGGGGCCCCCAGGCAAAAUCUACACAUGUACACAUUUACCUAUACCUUGAGGUUCCUUUUUUGUUGUGAUGCUUGCUGGUGCACAAUGGUGCCCCAUAGUUGUAUCCAGUGUUUCUACAUUUUUCCUGAGCAUGUUAUGAUGGGCUUUCUUUCAUGAAAUAGCAAUUGAUUUACAGUUGAGAUAAACCUCAUAACUGAGCCUUUAAACCAUUUUAUUGAGAAAAAAGGGAUGAGUCAGAAGUAUAGAUUAUUAUAUCAGUUUAAAACGGGGUUAUGUGGUGGAUUGGUCUGAACAGAAACUGCAGACCGGAUUAUUGAAAAUGAAACAGGAAAAAAAAGUAAUGAAAAGGAAAUAAAACUUUUAAACACCUAAGGAUUAUAUCAACCAAAAAAACUGCUUAUGCGUCCUCUAUUUAGAUCCUUCUCCUAAAUGAGUAAAUGGCAUUUAAAACAAUAAACAUAUAAUAUCCUACGCAUGCACUGUUGCUCUAUAUUAAAUUACAGCAUCAGAUGUAUGAUAUUUUCAUUUGCUACAAGCAGGAUACACAAGAAGCAUGUUCAACGAUAAAUGCGUGUAGCAUGUCUGGACCGGUCACCCCACACACACAGAGACCACACGACCACUCUUCGAUGAGAUUUAGCACUUUCCUUUACUUGGUCUGUAAUAAGGAGAAAUAAUCAGUGGAUCAAAAGGCGACCGCUUCUCCCUCUCUGGCACACAGAGUCAAUUACGGGGAGAGCUCAAUAAUACAUGUGCUCCUUAGCCUAGACUGAGUCAUGUUCUCUAUCAGUCUGUUGACCGGUUUCACAAUCCUACCUACUCUGGUCCGAAUUCUCAUAUCCCCUGAACCAGGAGGUGGCUCAAUAGCUUCAAGAGGUGAAACGCCAUGGUCACUAUGGCAAACUGCCUCAGAAACAGAACUGCGAGAAUCACAACUCUGUCCUUCAUCUGGACUGCUUACACUACUUUCCACCUUGGUACACUCAUUCUUCGAAGCAAAUUGCUCAUGUCCGGUUGACUCAGGGACUCCGUUCAAUGAUUCAAGGCUUUCAGAUCUGCAGGACAACCUCUGCUGAGGGUCGUCAGA
rnacentral:lncRNA from 1 species